rnacentral:rRNA from 1 species
GAAGAAGGCCUUCGGGUUGUAAAGCUCUUUCGGCCGGGAAGAAUCGCAUGGGUUAAUACCCUGUGCGGAUGACGGUACCGGAAUAAGAAGCACCGGCUAACUACGUGCCAGCAGCCGCGGUAAUA